GGCCCGAUAGCUUAGUAGGUUAAAGCAUUUCCAAUUAAUGGAAGCGACCCAGGUUCGACUCCUGGUCCAGCCG
rnacentral:tRNA from 2 species